GUCAAAGCUACUUUCUCUUUACUUCAAUCUCCAAGACUGAAGAAUAAUGAAGACUCUUUUCGUGACUCUGAUACUUGCUAUGAUGAUGACAAGAGGUGAUUCUAUUCUGAAGUGUUCCUACUGUCAUCCAAAGCGUGGUGGCUGGUGUGAACAUAAAGAACAUCUCUGCCUUUUCUCAAAUGGCUGUAUUACUUAUGAGCUGAUGAUCCCUCCAUAUACAUAUGUCAAGGAAUGCCACUCUUUGACAAACUGCCGUCGUCUACAGAGCACACCAAAUGUGAGAGUCCAGUGUUGCAAUACAGACCUCUGCAAUGGUCCUGAAUAUGCUUAAUCUAAAAUAUACUUUCCUCAGUAUUACUGUCAUUUUUUGUUGUUUUUAAGCAUGUAAACAGCAAGAUCAGUCAUAUUUUUUUUAUCACUCUGACACAAAUACAGUUUCGAGUCAAAUCCUGAAGUGAAGAAAUACAUUCUCCUUUACUGCAGACUUAUUUUUAUUUUUAACAAGGGGCUGUGGAGCAUGACAAAAUCUGACAUACUCUAUUAUUUGCAGACUUAGGGUAUUACCAUGUGAACUUGAUCAAUUUUGCUACACUGUAGAUUACGUAGAGCCACUUAAAAUAAAUCACCGAGAGAAAAUUAGCAGCCUGGUAUAAUAAUCACACAUGCACCUAAAACUACACGAGGUGAAAAUUAGAAGGUAAAUUAUGUCAGAUUAAACUAGCAGUAUUUCAAACAGCAUUGGAAGACAGACUUGAGUCUUAGAAAGACUCUUUACUGCUAGAUCAACUUACUGACCAACAUACAAACAUAUCUACAAAAUUAUCCUAGAUUAUUGUGAAAUUCUGUAGUAUAGUAGUUAACUAGGAAUGAGACUAUCACACAACAUGCACAAUAUCAAGCAAAAAUUUAAAGCCAGAAAAUGUGGUAACUAACCAUGGUGAUGACAGUAUAAGUAGAUUAUAAUGCUUGUGGACUAGAUCUCUUAGUUUCACCUUUCUUUAAACAGAAAACUUUCCUCUACCUAAAUCCUUUAAUCUAGCAGUUAUCAGAACCCUGACCUCAACCCCUGACAGCUGUCCAACUAUUGGCCCAUGUUAGAAAAGACACAGCGAUUUUGUUGAUGCCUACAUAACAUUCAUGAAAUCUAGGAGUCAGGAUUUAGGCCUCAUCAUACUGUAGCACUGAGACAGCAAUGGUUAAAGUGGUAAAUGACCAACUCCUGGCCUGUGAUCUGGGAUAUGUAUCCUUGCUUGUGUUAGUGCAGAGGAGUGAGGCUUUUGACACCACUGAUCAUAUUAUUCUUCGAGGUAGACUAGAAAAUGUUUGAGUUAAGGGAAUGGCUAUCUCCUGGUUCAGGUCUUAUUUGGCUGAUCAUUAUUAGUUUGUAGAUGUAACUUCACUAUGCGUACUAAUUGUUUGGUGUUCUACAAAAAGUUUGGUGUCCAACAAUGUUCCGUUUUAGGCCCGCCGCUUGUUUCUCUAUGUAUGCUACCUCUGGUUACAAUUAUUCGUAUAUUUGGUAUUAGCUUUCACUGUUUUGCUGAUAAAACACAGUUAUAUGUUUCAGCAAAUACAGAUGUGAAAAGACACCAGCUUAAUACUUUCAAGGAAUGUAAAAAUGUCAAAACAUACCAAUCAUAAUGCCAAAAUGUAGGUAAAGUGAUAUGGUCCAUAUUCACUGUGUAGAAUGGUGAUGGCACCCAUGUUAUUGGGUUAUUUCACUUUAGCUGAUACUGGACUCUAGUCAA